AGAAAACCCUGUGCUAGAUGUGGUUCAUGUGCUUCUGGAUUUCACAGCCUGGCAGAGGAGAGACCCAGAAAAAAACUGAACAGAAGUAAAAGCCUCUCUGAAAGGUUGUCCAACUCUGCGCAAACCUGUGAACACAAAGAAGUACUCCGAAGAGCCUGUCCUGGGACAGAGGCACUAAUCUGCACAUGGCCUACUUUCUACCUAGCAGAUUUCCAUGGUGUGGUCCUUGGGGGUGCUGCCCAGGCCACUGCCCAUGAAACUGGAACCUACCACACUCUGAUCCCUCUUACCCACUUACCAGCAUGAUCGCAUCACCUUCAGAUGCGUGGUUCCCUUAUUUAUUAGGUUCUUUAUUUUCUCUAUCCUCCAUGAGAAUGC
rnacentral:lncRNA from 1 species